AGAACGAACGCUGGCGGCAUGCCUAAUACAUGCAAGUCGAACGAACUCUUCGGAGUUAGUGGCGCACGGGUGCGUAACGCGUGGGAAUCUGCCCCUUGGUUCGGAAUAACAGUUGGAAACGACUGCUAAUACCGGAUGAUGACGAAAGUCCAAAGAUUUAUCGCCAAGGGAUGAGCCCGCGUAGGAUUAGCUAGUUGGUGAGGUAAAGGCUCACCAAGGCAACGAUCCUUAGCUGGUCUGAGAGGAUGAUCAGCCACACUGGACUGAGACACGGCCCAGACUCCUACGGGAGCAGCAGUAGGGAUAGUGGACAAUGGGCGAAAGCCUGGAUCCAGGCAAUGCCGCGUGAGUGAUGAAGGCCUUAGGUGUAAGCUCUUUACCGAG
rnacentral:rRNA from 1 species